CAAGAUUAGUUCAAUACAAGUCAUUUUUAAUGAUUUCAGCUUCAACAGCAUGACCACGGUUAUGCUGGAACUAGAAAAAGCAUUGUACAAAAUACCAAAAAGUUUGGCUGUACCUCAGUCAUUAAAUGUAGGAAGAUUGUGAAGUUUCCAGAUUAUAAGUGAACGACCAGACCAUGUAAGGCUUCAUGGCUUCAUCAAAUAUCCCAUAGAAUAGGCACAACAGCAGAAAAAGAUGUAUGGAAAUGGAGUUGGGGAGUUUGAAGAAUCUGCUUUUGAGUGGUGUCAGCAAAAACUGGGAUUCAUGGUUUUGUACAAUUUACACCAAAGACUAACAAUUGAAUACCUUUACGGUGUUCUUUUUAAAGAAGCAAUGGUGCAAGAAACUUACCAUAUGAGGAAGCAGAUGAGCAAUGAUGUUUGACUGAGUUUGACAGGAAUAAGAAACCACAAAAAUGAACUUAUAGUUAAAACCCUAGAUUUUUUUGGCCAAGGAAUGUCUUAAGCAGAGUACGGGCUGUUGUUACCCUGUAAAAAAAAUGGAUGUUUAUGUCUUGUGAGUCUUUGUUACGACUGAUGACACAUUCAAUUACAUGAUUGUGUUUACCAGCUUUGACAUUGGAAUUUGUUGCAAAUUACCUAUUUCAGUGUAACUAAGCAAGAAAUAGGUAAUUAGGUAAAUGUGGAAUAUAUCUUAACACAUAUUAAAUUUUCUGACUUCUUAAUGAGACCAUCUUCACUAUCCUUUAUAUUAUUUAGUAAGCAUUUGUGUAACAGUAUAAAAUUUAGUAGAUAUAUGUUUGUAUUAAGUUGUGGAAAAUUUUAUAACAAAUGUGAAUCUGCACAUUUGAAAAAUUCUUAUUAAAAUGUAAUAGAGGUAAAACUGCCAGUUUAAUGAAUCCAAAUUUAAAUGAGGUUUUGUAAUAUCAUGUACUCUUAAAUGUUCCAAAAUACUGUUCAUGCUUUAAGUUUGAUAAUUUUAUAUGCUACUUUGAUAUUGAAAUAUGCUACAUAAACACAGAAGAUUGACUGUAUUUCAGUAUGUGUAAUUUUAUUACAAUAAAUUAAACAUUCUCC